CCGGCCAUCAGCAGGAGGGUCCCCCUACAUUAGCCUGGUCCUGCUCAAGGUUUCUUCCUGUCAAAGGGGAGUUUUUCCUUGCCACUGUUGCUCGUCUGGGGUUAGGCCCUGGGAUUCUGGAAAGCGCCUUGAAACAAUUCUGAUUGUAAAAGACGCUAUAUAAAUAAAGAUUGAUUGAUUGAACGAACGAACGAACUAAUGCACGAACUAAUGCAGCUGGGACAAACCCGACUCACCCACACGGAGCGGAAGCGCUGGCUGUCAGCGAAGGUUUGCUUGUAUUGCUUCCAGGCUGGCCACUACCUCGCUGAUUGCCCGUCACGGCCCAAAGGACUAAGCCCAUCGACUCCCAUUAGAGUGUUGGCAAGCGGUUACUCCGCUCUGGCCCGCUUAACACUGCCGGGCACACUCCUCUGGGGCAAGGAAUCUGUCUCUGCGCCAUUCCUGGUGGACUCCGGCGCAGACAACAGCUUCAUCUGCCAGGACUUGGUCAUGCAAGCCCGCAUCCCUGUCGAGGCUCUGCCCGAGUCAAGACCCAUCCUUGGUCUCAACGGGGAUGUCCUGACAAAGGAAGUGGGGCAUUUCCCCCAUGUGGUGCAGCCGGGUGGCGCAGUCCAGGUGUCGGGGAUCGGUGAGGGACUCUGCCGCAGGAAGAGAGCUGCUGCAGUUUCGGGGUCCCGGUCUGGUCCAGCGACGCGGAGCCGGACCCCGUCUUACUCCGUUCCUGCAUCCUGGCAGUUGGAGCAGAGAGUCCAAGAGGCCCAGCAAUCAGUCCCGGAUCCAGGUGUGGUUCUACUGAACCGGCUGUUCGUCCCUGAGGUGGUGCGUUUCGACGGUCUGCACUGGGCCCACGCCUCAAGGCUGACCUGCCACCUGGGAAUCAUCCGCACACUACAGUUACUUUGGCAGCGGUUUUGGUGGCCCUCCAUUACCCGAGACACCAGGAACUACAUAGCAGCCUGUGCCAGGGAAAAGUCCUCCCACCAGCCCCUAUUGUCCGAUGUUCUGGAGGACGAGGUGGCGGUGCCCUCGGUUCAGGCCAACAUACGCCGGUGCAGGAGGGUGUGGAGGCAGGUCCGCGCUGCACUCCUGCGGGCCUCCCAGCGCUCUCAACGGCAGGCCAAUCAGCACCAGACUCCAGCCCCUUCCUAUCAGCUGGGUCAGAAGGUCUGGCUGUCUACAAAGGACCUCCCGCUCCAGGUGGAGUCUCGGAACCUGACUCCACGCUUCAAUGCCCUUUCGAGGUGGAGCGGAUGGUGA
rnacentral:lncRNA from 1 species